CACCCACCCACACUUCAAUCUUGCAAAAUUAUAGCUCAAAUGGAGCAAAGGUAGCAUGGGUUUGCAACCUAUGGCAGAAUUUUGGUUGAUUAAUUAUUUGAUUGCAAUUUCAUGACAUGUUGGACGGCUUGAGGAUGCUUAUUGGUGGCUGAUUUGAUGAAUUAACAUGUUUUGGUUGCUGAUAUUGUGCUAUGUUACAUGUAUAUAGAAUGAUUGAUGGAAUGAAGUUGGAAGAAAGUUAGAAAUUUGGAGAAGGAUCUCAAGAGGACUUCGAGGGAACUCCCGGCGAAGCGUCUUAGAGCUAAUUUCUCAAACUUUGAUUUUUGAUACUUGGUUUGGAAGUGGAAGUUCUGAGGCUUAAUUAGUGACCCCCAAAAAUAAUUUUUCCCCAUAGGGCUCGAGGCCAAAGAAAGCGCUUGUAUUAAGUUAUUAGUGCCUGAAGGGAUAUCUCAUAUAUAAUUUGAAUUUGAUUCACUUGAUAAGUAUUUGAUGUAAUUAUUUGAGAACUGAGAACUUUUGUCUUAUUCGGGGAAUGAUACCCUUACUUGAGAUUUGUAAUGUAUCUUAUCUCAUUCUAAGUUUGAAAAAUGUUAUUUUGUUUAUUC